rnacentral:rRNA from 1 species
GACGAACGCUGGCGGCGUGCUUAACACAUGCAAGUCGAACGGAAAGGCCCUGCUUUUGUGGGGUGCUCGAGUGGCGAACGGGUGAGUAACACGUGAGUAACCUGCCCUUGACUUUGGGAUAACUUCAGGAAACUGGGGCUAAUACCGGAUAGGAGCUCCUGCUGCAUGGUGGGGGUUGGAAAGUUUCGGCGGUUGGGGAUGGACUCGCGGCUUAUCAGCUUGUUGGUGGGGUAGUGGCUUACCAAGGCUUUGACGGGUAGCCGGCCUGAGAGGGUGACCGGCGACAUUGGGACUGAGAUACGGCCCAGACUCCUACGGGAGGCAGCAGUGGGGAAUAUUGCACAAUGGGCGGAAGCCUGAUGCAGCAACGCCGCGUGCGGGAUGACGGCCUUCGGGUUGUAAACCGCUUUAGCAUGUGACGAAGCGUGAGUGACGGUAAUGGGUAAAGAAGCACCGGCUAACUACGUG